rnacentral:rRNA from 1 species
UAGGGAAUUUUGCGCAAUGGGGGCAACCCUGACGCAGCAACGCCGCGUGGGUGAUGAAGGUCUUCGUGAUCGUAAAGCCCUGUCAGGAGGAACGAAUUUGCUUCCGGCUAAUAUCCGGAGGUAAUGACGGUACCUUCAGAGGAAGCACCGGCUAACUCCGUGCCAGCAGCCGCGGUAAUACGGAGGGUGCAAGCGUUGUUCGGAAUCAUUGGGCGUAAAGCGCGUGUAGGUGGUUUGGCAAGUCCUAUGUGAAAGCCCUUGGCUUAACCAAGGAAGUGCAUGGGAUACUACCAGGCUAGAGUACGGUAGAGGGAAGUGGAAUUCCUAGUGUAGAGGUGAAAUUCGUAGAUAUUAGGAGGAACACCCGUGGCGAAAGCGGCUUCCUGGGCCGAUACUGACACUGAGACGCGAAAGCGUGGGUAGCAAACAGG